UACGUAGGGUGCAAGCGUUAUCCGGAAUUAUUGGGCGUAAAGAGCGUGUAGGCGGCCAGGUAGGUCUGCUGUGAAACUCGAGGCUCAACCUCGAGACGUCGGCGGAAACCAUCUGGCUAGAGUCCGGAAGAGGAGAGUGGAAUUCCUGGUGUAGCGGUGAAAUGCGCAGAUAUCAGGAAGAACACCCGUGGCGAAGGCGGCUCUCUGGGACGGUACUGACGCUGAGACGCGAAAGCGUGGGAGCGAACAGG
rnacentral:rRNA from 1 species